AACAGGUUUACAUGUAGGUCAAGAACAAACACAUAUGUAUUAUAAAGUAAUACAUAACUUUGUUGUUGACCUACAAAAGUGUUUACUUAUAAUACUGAUCUACUGUUGAAUUAACUACUAUCACCACCACCAUGUCUAUAUACGGAUCUACCUGUUGAAUUAACUACUAUUCACCACCAUGUCUAUAUACCUGAUCUACCUGUUGAAUUAACUACUAUUCACCACCAUGUCUAUAUACCUGAUCUACCUGUUGAAUUAACUACUAUUCACCAUCACCACCAUGUCUAUAUACCUGAUCUACCUGUUGAAUUAACUAUAUUCCCACCACCCACCACCAUGUCUAUAUACCUGAUCUACCUGUUGAAUUAACUACUAUUCACCACCACCAUGUCUAUAUACCGAUCUACCUGUUGAAUAACUACUAUUCACCACCACCAUGUCUAUAUACCUGAUCUACCUGUUGAAUUAACUACUAUUCACCACCACCAUGUCUAAUAUCUGACUACGUUGAAUAACUACUAUUCACCACCAUGUCUAUAUACCUGAUCUACCUGUUGAAUUAACUACUAUUCACCCACCACCAUGCUAUAUACCUGAUCUACCGGUUGAAUUAACUACUAUUCACCACCACCACCAUGUCAUAUACCUGAUCUACCUGUUGAAUUAACUACUAUUCACCACCAUGUCUAUAACCUGAUCUACCUGUUGAAUUAACUACUAUUCACCACCACCACCAGUCUAUAUACCGAUCUACCUGUUGAAUUAACUACUAUUCACCACCACCACCAUGUCAUAUACCUGAUCACCUGUUGAAUUAACUACAUUCACCACCACCACCAUGUCUAUAUACCUGAUCACCUGUUGAAUAACUACUAUUCACCACCACCACCAUGUCUAUAUACCUGAUCUACCUGUUGAAUUAAAUACUAUUCACCACCAUGUCUAUAUACCUGAUCUACCUGUUGAAUUAACUACUAUCACCCCACCAUGUCUAUAACCUGAUCUACUGUAAAUUAACUACUAUUCACCACCACCAUGUCUAUAUACCUGAUCUACCUGUUGAAUUAACUACUAUUCACCACCACCACCAUGUCUAAUACCUGAUCUACCUGUUGAAUGAACUACUAUUCACCACCACCACGUCUAAUACCUGAUCUACCUGUUGAAUUAACUACUAUUCACCACCACCACGUC
rnacentral:lncRNA from 1 species